GGCGAACCACACAAACGUUAUUCGGAAUUACUGGGCUUAAAGGGUGCGUAGGCGGCGCGGAAAGUAGGGUGUGAAAUCCCUCGGCUCAACCGAGGAAUUGCGCCCUAAACUACCGUGCUCGAGGGAGAUAGAGGUGAGCGGAACUUAGGGUGGAGCGGUGAAAUGCGUUGAUAUCCUAAGGAACACCGGUGGCGAAAGCGGCUCACUGGAUCUCUUCCGACGCUGAGGCACGAAAGCUAGGGUAGCGAACGGG
rnacentral:rRNA from 1 species